rnacentral:rRNA from 1 species
UGGGGAAUAUUGGACAAUGGGCGAAAGCCUGAUCCAGCAAUGCCGCGUGAGUGAUGAAGGCCUUAGGGUUGUAAAGCUCUUUUACCCGGGAUGAUAAUGACAGUACCGGGAGAAUAAGCCCCGGCUAACUCCGUGCCAGCAGCCGCGGUAAUACGGAGGGGGCUAGCGUUGUUCGGAAUUACUGGGCGUAAAGCGCACGUAGGCGGCUUUGUAAGUUAGAGGUGAAAGCCCGGGGCUCAACUCCGGAAUUGCCUUUAAGACUGCAUCGCUAGAAUUGUGGAGAGGUAAGUGGAAUUCCGAGUGUAGAGGUGAAAUUCGUAGAUAUUCGGAAGAACACCAGUGGCGAAGGCGACUUACUGGACACAUAUUGACGCUGAGGUGCGAAAGCGUGGGGAGCAAACAG